UAUAUGCUAAUUUUAAAAAAUGUACCUUUUGCAUGGAAAAAGUUGUUUUUCUUGGUUAUGUUGUUAAUACAAAAGGUAUUGAGGUAGACGAAAAGAAAGUCAAGGCUAUCAAGGAGUGGCCAACGCCUAAAAGCAUCACUAAGGUAAAAAGCUUUCAUGGUUUAGCUAGCUUUUAUAGGCGUUUUGUUAAGGAUUUUAGCACCAUUGCUGCACCAUUCACUGAAAUAAUUAAAAAGAAUGUUGGAUUUCAUUGGGGGAGUGAUCAAGCGAAUGCAUUUGCUACUCUUAAAGAAAGGUUAUGUUCUACACCUAUGUUAGCAUUAUCUAACUUUAACAAAACUUUUGAGAUUGAAUAUGCUGCCUCAGGAAUAGGAAUUGGAGUCGUUUUAAUGCAGGAUAGGUGGCCCAUAGCCUUCUUCAGUGAGAAGCUAAGUGGGGCGGCCCUGAAUUACCCCACUUAUGACAAAGAACUUUAUGCUCUUGUUCGUGCUCUAGAGACGUGGCAGCACUACCUUUGGCCUAAGGAAUUUGUAAUCCACACCGAUCAUGAAUCAUUAAAGUAUCUCAAGAGUCAAGGUAAAUUAAAUAAGCGACAUGCUAGAUGAAUUGAAUACAUCGAAACCUUUCCCUAUGUCAUCCGUUACAAGCAAGGAGAACAUUGUUGCUGAUGCUUUAUCACAGAGGAAGGCCAAAUUGGUGAAGUCAAUUCAUGAGAGGGUACUGCUUCAAAUUGCACAGAAGAAUGAAAAGUUUGCUUCCCAAGCCAAUAAAGGGUGAAGGCGUGUCAUUUUUGAACCAGGAGAUUGGGUUUGGAUUCACAUGCGCAAAGAAAGAUUCCCAUCCCAUAGAAGGACUAAAUUGCAUCCUCGAGGCAAUGGACAUUUCCAAAUCCUUGAGAAAAUUAAUGAUUUUCCAGGUGACGAUUCGAGGUCGAAUCCUUUUGAGAAGAGGGGAAAUGAUGGGCCACAUGGUAGACCGAAUCUUAAAGAUCCCUUACAAGUUCCAGAUGGGCCAAUCACAAGGUCAAGAGCGAAGAAGAUAAGGAUUGGUGCAAUCCACUUGGGCCGAGUUUCCAAAUUUAUCGAGCAAGACUCCAACAUUCAAUAUGGGCUUGAAAAAAGAAAAACCAACUUUAAUCCAUGUGAUACAAUCGACAGAUGGGGGCGGCAUAGCCUAGUGGUUUAGUGCAGACUCUUUAUUUCAUUAAGUAUAGGCGUGUGGGCCUAUUUUUAUGUUGCUAUAAUUGUAGGCUUUUGGGCCUAUUUAUUUCAUUAAGAGGACUUUUUUUAUUAGCUACAGAAGUGUAGUUUAUGAUGUUUUGGGCUUGAAGAUGUUCAGCCCAUGUCUUUUAAUUGAUGU